CAGAUGUGUCUACAGGGAAGACUUCUCCAGCUUCUCCAGCUGCUACCUUGGAUGCUGCACUCAAGCCCAGCUCCCAUCUCAGGGGUACUCCAACAGGGAAAAUCCAAGAUACAACAGAUAAGAUAUCCCUGGAACCAUCCAAACAGAUGAGGCAAGAGCUGAAGGAACCCCUGCAGACAAGACAAGAGAUGGACAUAGUGCUUCAGUGGAAGGUGGCAUUUCUUGAAGGAAGCACUCCAUCUUCGGUGCCAGCCCCUGCUGCAGGAAGGAAGGCAAAGCCAGACACGGGCACAGGCACAGCAGACUGGGAUGCUGGGAAGGAUUCUCCAUUAGCCUGGCGCUCUGAAGUUGUGAAGCCCUCUGAGCAUUCUGCAGGCGUGUCUGCAGGGACGACCUCACCAACUCCUACCUUGGAUGCUGCACAAAAGGCCAGCUCCCAUGGCAGGGGUGAGUAGUGUGUCCCUGCUGACCCCUCAGGCUGAGCCCUGCUUUUGUGGGGUCCAUUCCUGGGAAAUGGAACUACUUUCUCUUAAGGUCCUCUGACAG